UACGAGUGGCCCAAGCGUUAUCCGGAAUUAUUGGGCGUAAAGGAUGUGUAGGUGGUUAUGUUAGUCGGGUGUCUAACCUCUGGGCUCAACCUGGAGACAGCAUUCGAAACGGCAUGACUAGAGUAUGUUAGGGGUAAGCGGAACUCAUAGUGUAGGGGUGAAAUCCGUUGAUAUUAUGGGGAACACCAAAAGCGAAGGCAGCUUACUGGAACAUUACUGACACUGAAACAUGAAAGCGUGGGUAGCGAAUGGG
rnacentral:rRNA from 1 species